rnacentral:lncRNA from 1 species
ACCUGACAGGUGGACUUGUCCUAGUGCAGCUGGAACACACUCACGGCUCCCAGGUCAGUGCAGUCAGAUGAAGAUGAGAGAGUGGAGCCACAGCACUGGAUAGAGAUGGACAAUCACUUCUCUCUCAGCCACACCCUCUUCAAGAUCGCACCCCGCUUUCCUGUCCUUUCUGUGUGGCAGAGGUGACUGUGCGCUGAAGAUGAGAUCCACUAUCCAGAAGUGAGUUCCAGGUGUCUGCUUUUGGAUAGGUCUGGGAUAUGGAAAGACACUGGAGCUGGAAGAUGCGGAUGGGAAGAAAAGAUAGGAUGCUGACCCUCCUAAAGGGGCUUGCUCACCUGUGAGGAUACCUGCCCUGCAAGAUAAAGUAAAAUUCCAGAUGGAAACCAGAGACAGCCUGUUUUGAUGAUGUAGCCUUUGCUGACAAUCCAGAAGCACAAACACAUGGGGAGAUCUGCUGUUAGAAAGUCUCCCUUGAAAUGCAAAUGAUGGCUGAUGAUACAAGUUCUGAAGUGCAAGGAGAAUGCAUCUGAUGGAGAUGCAUGGAGAGUAUGAACAUCCUGCCAGGCAAGUAACGACUGGAGAUCACAGGGUUCAUUGCUAGGUAA